UUACAGCACCACAAUGCCUAUUCCACCCAUGCUCUACCAAGGUUUUACAGCACCACAAUGCCUACUCCACCCAUGCUCUACCAAGGUUUUACAGCACCACAAUGCCUACUCCACCCAUGCUCUACCAAGGUUUUACAGCACCACAAUGCCUACUCCACCCAUGCUCUACCAAGGUUUUACAGCACCACAAUGCCUACUCCACCCAUUCUCUACUAAGGUUUAACAGCACCACAAUGCCUACUCCACCCAUGCUCUACCAAGGUUUUACAGCACCACAAUGCCUACUCCACCCAUUCUCUACUAAGGUUUAACAGCACCACAAUGCCUACUCCACCCAUGCUCUACCAAGGUUUUUCCAGCACACAGCUUUGACCUACUACAG